AAAACUUUCAACAACGGAUCUCUUGGUUCUGGCAUCGAUGAAGAACGCAGCGAAAUGCGAUAAGUAAUGUGAAUUGCAGAAUUCAGUGAAUCAUCGAAUCUUUGAACGCACAUUGCGCCCCUCGGCAUUCCGGGGGGCAUGCCUGUUCGAGCAUCAUCU
rnacentral:rRNA from 1 species